rnacentral:rRNA from 1 species
UCGAACGGAGCGCCAUGGAAUGAGGUUUCGGGCCAAAGGGAAAUGGUUGCUUAGUGGCGGACUGGUGAGUAACGCGUGAGGAACCUGCCUUUCAGAGGGGGACAACAGUUGGAAACGACUGCUAAUACCGCAUGAAGCAUGACCGGGGCAUCCCGGACAUGCCAAAGAUUUAUCGCUGAAAGAUGGCCUCGCGUCCGAUUAGAUAGUUGCGGGGUAACGGCCCACCAAGUCGACGAUCGGUAGCCGGACUGAGAGGUUGGCCGGCCACAUUGGGACUGAGAUACGGCCCAGACUCCUACGGGAGGCAGCAGUGGGGGAAUAUUGGGCAAUGGACGCAAGUCUGACCCAGCAACGCCGCGUGAAGGAAGAGGCUUUCGGGUUGUAAACUUCUUUGACAGGGGAAGAGCAGAAGACGGUACCCUGAAAACAAGCCACGGCUAACUACGUG